UCCAGACUCCUACGGGAGGCAGCAGUGGGGGACAUUGCACAAUGGGGGGAACCCUGAUGCAGCGACGCCGCGUGGGUGAAGGAGCGUUUCGGCGCGUAAAGCCCUAUCGGCAGGGAAGAAGGAGGACGGUACCUGACUAAGAAGCCCCGGCUAACUACGUGCCAGCAGCCGCGGUAAUACGUAGGGGGCAAGCGUUAUCCGGAUUUACUGGGUGUAAAGGGGGCGCAGACGGCAGCGCAAGCCAGGAGUGAAAGCCCGGGGCCCAACCCCGGGACUGCUCUUGGAACUGCGCGGCUGGAGUGCAGGAGGGGCAGGCGGAAUUCCUGGUGUAGCGGUGAAAUGCGUAGAUAUCAGGAGGAACACCGGUGGCGAAGGCGGCCUGCUGGACUGCGACUGACGUUGAGGCGCGAAAGCGUGGGGAGCAAACAGGAUUAGAUACCCCCGUAUC
rnacentral:rRNA from 1 species